rnacentral:rRNA from 1 species
AACGAACGCUGGCGGCAUGCCUAACACAUGCAAGUCGAACGAUUGCCUUCGGGUGAUAGUGGCGCACGGGUGCGUAACGCGUGGGAAUCUGCCCUUAGGUUCGGAAUAACAGCUGGAAACGGCUGCUAAUACCGGAUGAUAUCGCGAGAUCAAAGAUUUAUCGCCUGAGGAUGAGCCCGCGUUGGAUUAGGUAGUUGGUGGGGUAAAGGCCUACCAAGCCGACGAUCCAUAGCUGGUCUGAGAGGAUGAUCAGCCACACUGGGACUGAGACACGGCCCAGACUCCUACGGGAGGCAGCAGUGGGGAAUAUUGGACAAUGGGCGCAAGUCUGAUCCAGCAAUGCCGCGUGAGUGAUGAAGGCCCUAGGGUUGUAAAGCUCUUUUACCCGGGAAGAUAAUGACUGUACCGGGAGAAUAAGCCCCGGCUAACUCCGUG